rnacentral:rRNA from 1 species
UCAGGCCUAACACAUGCAAGUCGUACGGGGAUUUUUAAUUCAAGUGGCGGACGGGUGAGUAACACGUAAGAAUUUGCCUUUAGGAGGGGGACAACAACUGGAAACGGUUGCUAAUACCCCAUAUGCUUUCGAGUGAAAUGGAUUUUUCCGCCUAAAGAGAAGCUUGCGGCUGAUUAGCUUGUUGGUGAGGUAAUGGCUCACCAAGGCGACGAUCAGUAUCUGGUUCGAGAGGAUGAUCAGACACACUGGAACUGAGACACGGUCCAGACUCCUACGGGAGGCAGCAGUGGGGAAUUU